GAAUCUCUUCCGCCAAUCAUUAAAAACCUGGGUUUGUCACAUUGUGAUUCUUGUUAACUUUUUAAUUUGAUUGUUUUAUUGCUUUUGACAGGCACAUAUUACAUCGUUAUUGCUUCUAAGCCAAAGCAGCGUAAUAAGUCGAAGGCGCUGUCUUACAACAGCUCUUGUUGUUAGAAUUGUAGGACAAUGCUCCAUACAUUUAGAACCUGGGCGAGAGGUGAGUUAUCAACGCAUGUUUAGUAUAGUAUAGCAUACACCUAGUCUUAUAAAAUUACCAUAUUGCAUGAAAUGCUAUUUCAGGUCCCAGAGGUAACUGCCGGCAUCAUAGACAAUGCGGCCUUCAUACAGGAAUAUAUACCAUUUGAAGUAAAAUAACCAUAUAGUACACAAAAUGCAAUGUAGGGUCACUGAGGUAACAGCCAAGGAUAGCACUGCCCACAACAUUGACAAUGCAGCCUACAUGCAGGAACACGCAGGUGAUGAAGUGUACAUGCAAAUUACAAGAGAUAAGAAACUUGCACAAAGUAAAACGCUUCAACUGACACCUGAGCAUUGGCAUAAUUAUGAUUUACCUAUGAAGUUCAACCAGGUAACAUGUGCACAAGUUGCAGGAUGCAACAAGAUCAGCUGUUCCCAUACUGAUGGCUAUGAAGAACCAGUUCCCCACUGAUGGAGAUAUAUUAUGAAAAUGUUUUUGGUGUUGGCCAGAUUUAGAUACACUGUGUUGUGUUUGGCCAGAAAUGCAGAGUGGUAACACCAGUCACCUAAGCCAAUAUUGCCCUCACAGACAAGAGUGUGAAGUAACAGCCCCUGCAGUUUACAGCAAAGCCCUCAACUGUAGCCCUACAAACUUCAGAUACUGCCGAUGGCAUAGAUGCAGUGAACUUUGCCAGAUUUGCAGCUAUGUUGAAUUGACAUCUCCAGCUGAACUAGAGCCAGGAUUGAUAUCAGACUGCUUGACAGCACGGACCUCUUUCUUGGGUGGAUGGAUUCAGAGAUGACCUACAGAUGCAGCCAUGACUGUUGCACAUGAAUGUUAGAGAUGGUGACUGUAAAAAAAUGAUGAUAGCAGAAAAAUGAAACUAUCUUAAUAUGGUUUUCUGGAAUUAAAUUAGCAGACAAAGUAUUCAUAUUUUUGUGGAAAAAUAAUGUCAUAGCUGAAAUAUGUUUUGCAAAUUCAAAAUGGUAAUGUUUUUCUCAUAUUUUAUGCUGGCAUCACAAAUAUUAUCAUUGGCUCUGUAUACGGUAAUCUCUCACUUCAAAACAUAACUAAUUGGACUAUUUGAAGAUUAAAUCUUCAUUAUUUUUAUUUAAUAUAAAAUGCUAUGCUGGUUUUACUGUCUUAAAUAAUGUUACUUAUUAUGUUUGAAUAGCCUAAAAUAAAGUUUACAAAUUUUGUGUCGUCCCGUUGUGUGUUCUGUAAAAGAAAUGUUUCAAGUCUCUAAAGUCAGUUUCUUAUAUUGCUGCAAAAAGUAGAACUAGAAAUGCCAAUGUGCUGUCUCAUUAGAAGUCAGGUGAUAAACGCCGCAGUAGUAGAAGUAGAGCCAAUCUAUUUCAUAGAAGUUCAAAGGUAAAAUGAGUGCUGAUUGCUGUCACAGAAAUAGUAGUGGUGAUCAGUGUUGCAGUAGUUAAAUGAAAAUCAUUGUUAUUGUAGUUUAAGUGGUGAUCAUUUUCACAGGAAAGGAAGUGGUGAUCAGUGCUGCAAUAGUAGAAGUAGUAGUGCCAAUUUCAUGGUGCUUAAAGGGGUAGUGCUGAUCGCUUCCUCAGCUCAAUGUUGCAGUAGAAGUGCAAAUUGUUUUCAUAUUUUAAGUGGUAGUGCUGAUCACUGUCACAGUAGUAGAAGUGGUGACCCUGCAAUAGCAGAGGAAGUAGUGCCAGUGUCAUAGUAGUUAAAGGAGUAGUGGUGAUCUAGAAGUUGUUAUCAAUGCAGCAGUAGUAGUAGUA